ensembl:snoRNA
UGCAGCCAUGUCAAAUUCAGUCCCUGCCUGCUCCGUGGUGGGAACUGGCCCUGAGGCUGCCACAUCAAAGCUGUAGUUCAUGGGCCCCUGGUUCACGUAGUUGGACCUGGGGAUAAAAAUAGGCUGCAGACAUGU